rnacentral:rRNA from 1 species
GAUGAACGCUGGCGGCGUGCCUAACACAUGCAAGUCGAACGGAGUCCAGCCUUUAAGACCUUCGGGUCAAAGAGGGGAAGACUGAGUGGCGGACGGGUGAGUAACACGUGGGCAACCUAGCUCAUAGAGGGGGAUAACAGAGAGAAAUUUCUGCUAAUACCGCAUAAGCACACACUGCCGCAUGGCAGAGGGUGAAAAGAGAAUCGCUAUGAGAUGGACCCGCGUCUGAUUAGCCAGUUGGCAGGGUAAGAGCCUACCAAAGCGACGAUCAGUAGCCGAUCUGAGAGGAUGAACGGCCACAUUGGGACUGAGACACGGCCCAAACUCCUACGGGAGGCAGCAGUGGGGGAUAUUGCACAAUGGGGGGAACCCUGAUGCAGCGACGCCGCGUGAGUGAAGAAGUAUUUCGGUAUGUAAAGCUCUAUCAGCAGGGAAGAUAAUGACAGUACCUGAAGAAGAAGCCCCGGCUAACUACGUG